rnacentral:rRNA from 1 species
GAUGAACGCUAGCUACAGGCUUAACACAUGCAAGUCGAGGGCAUCAGGAAGAAAGCUUGCUUUCUUUGCUGGCGACCGGCGCACGGGUGAGUAACACGUAUCCAACCUGCCCUUUACUCGGGGAUAGCCUUUCGAAAGAAAGAUUAAUACCCGAUAGCAUAAUGAUUCCGCAUGGUUUCAUUAUUAAAGGUAUUCCGGUAGACGAUGGGGAUGCGUUCCAUUAGAUAGUAGGCGGGGUAACGGCCCACCUAGUCUUCGAUGGAUAGGGGUUCUGAGAGGAAGGUCCCCCACAUUGGAACUGAGACACGGUCCAAACUCCUACGGGAGGCAGCAGUGAGGAAUACUGGUCAAUGGGCGAGAGCCUGAACCAGCCAAGUAGCGUGAAGGAUGACUGCCCUAUGGGUUGUAAACUUCUUUUAUAAAGGAAUAAAGUCGGGUAUGGAUACCCGUUUGCAUGUACUUUAUGAAUAAGGAUCGGCUAACUCCGUG